rnacentral:rRNA from 1 species
CAGUCGCCGCGGUAAAACGGAGGGGGCUAGCGUUGUUCGGAAUUACUGGGCGUAAAGCGCACGUAGGCGGUUUUGUAAGUCAGAGGUGAAAGCCCGGAGCUCAACUCCGGAACUGCCUUUGAGACUGCAUCACUUGAACGUCGGAGAGGUGAGUGGAAUUCCGAGUGUAGAGGUGAAAUUCGUAGAUAUUCGGAAGAACACCAGUGGCGAAGGCGGCUCACUGGACGACUGUUGACGCUGAGGUGCGAAAGCGUGGGGAGCAAACAGGAUUAGAUACCCCGGUAGUCCCUGUCUCUUAUAC